AGACUAGUGGUGCAAGUCAGAGUGUCUGAGUGCAAGUGGUUCCAUACAAUAGAAGAGCUGAGUGUAGACUAGUGCAAGUCAGAGUGUCUGAGUGCAAGUGGUUCCAUACAAUAGAAGAGCUGAGUGUAGACUAGUGGUGCAAGUCAGAGUGUCUGAGUGCAAGUGGUUCUAUACAAUAGAAGAGCUGAGUGUAGACUAGUGCAAGUCAGAGUGUCUGAGUGCAAGUGGUUCUAUACAAUAGAAGAGCUGAGUGUAGACUAGUGGUGCAAGUGGUUCCAUACAACAAGAUUCAAGGAAGCUAUGGUGAAUUUAUCAGGAGGUAAAGUCCUUUAGAACAGGUCAUGGCUGAGUGUGGACGGUAUCGUUGACUUGUUCUGGGCUGUCAUUAACUUCUUCUUCAAGACUCUAAUAAGCCCUGGAGCUAGUGCUACUGGACCAUCACGCAGCACAGACUAUAGGCGAUCUGGAGUUGCUGAUCAAGGGAGACGUAUUGGUCGUGUUGGUAAGGGUGCUGGUGGUGGUGCUGGACCUCCCCCCAUGGGCGGUGGAUGAGGAAGAGCACCAGUCCUAACUGAGACAGCCCCAACAUGUGGUCAACAGACACUGCUCCAUUCUACAGUAAUGACAUCACCUCCGAUAUGAGCCCCCUACCUAUCAGCAGUGGCACCACCGACCCAACCUCACCCUCCAAGGAGACCACACUCUCAACCACCACCUAUGACCUCUUUGAGAACCAAAGUAUCUGGAACCUGAGCAACGUUGAUAGUUCAAGACUGAGUAAAGCCCCCUCUGACCUACUGCUGCAACGAUUUUGGACUAUGAAUUUUGGAUAACGAUUUCAACUUAACCUCAUUUCAAUUGAGUUGUCUGCUAUUAGCUCUAGUAUCAGCAUUUUAGCGAGUGAUUAUCUAGCCAGCUAUCUAGUUUAUUAUUGUUAUCGUGUAGCUACUAGUAGAUGGUUCAGUUGUCAUUUUGAGAGCUGUAUGUGUUUAGUAGCUAGCUGAUGACAUUAUUGUGUCUUGGCAUUAUGAAUUAACAAUUUA